GUACGAGGCUGGCGGNGUGCURACACAUGCAAGUCRAACGGGGUUUAGGGAGCUUGCUCCUUAAAUCUAGUGGCGGACGGGUGAGUAACGCGUGAGCAACCUGCCUUGAAGAGGGGAAUAACUGCUGGAAACAGUAGCUAAUACCGCAUAAUGUGGAGGAGGAGCAUUUCUCUUUCACCAAAGAUUUAUCGCUUUGAGAUGGGCUCGCGUCUGAUUAGCUAGUUGGUGGGGUAACGGCCCACCAAGGCGACGAUCAGUAGCCGGACUGAGAGGUUGAACGGCCACAUUGGGACUGAGACACGGCCCAGACUCCUACGGGAGGCAGCAGUGAGGGAUAUUGCACAAUGGGCGCAAGCCUGAUGCAGCAACGCCGCGUGAGGGAAGACGGUUUUCGGAUUGUAAACCUCUGUCUUCGGUGACGAACACAAUGACGGUAGCCGAGGAGGAAGCCACGGCUAACUACGUGCCAGCAGCCGCGGUAAUACGUAGGUGGCGAGCGUUGUCCGGAAUUACUGGGUGUAAAGGGAGCGCAGGCGGGAGAAUAAGUCAGCGGUGAAAUCUACGGGCUCAACCCGUAGCCUGCCGUUGAAACUAUUUUUCUUGAGUGGAGUAGAGGCAAGCGGAAUUCCGAGUGUAGCGGUGAAAUGCGUAGAGAUUCGGAGGAACACCAGUGGCGAAGGCGGCUUGCUGGGCUCUAACUGACGCUGAGGCUCGAAAGUGUGGGGAGCAAACAGGAUUAGAUACCCUGGUAGUCCACACCGUAAACGAUGAUUACUAGGUGUGGGGGGUCUGACCCCCUCCGUGCCGGAGCUAACGCAAUAAGUAAUCCACCUGGGGAUCA
rnacentral:rRNA from 1 species